UUCAAGUCUCAAUAAUACAAAUAAUCUCUUCCUCUUAGUUUCCAUAGAAUGGCCUCGCAUCAUAUGAUCCAUAUUUUUACUCUUCUUCUUGUAAGUUUCCUUGUUCAGCAGCACUUUGUUAUGAUAACAGGAUCCAGGCCAAUAAAAGUUUGUCCCACAGCUAUCCUUAAUGGCAAUAUGAGUACUCCGAAAGCUGGUUCAUUUCAGGGUUUUGUACUAAACCGG
rnacentral:lncRNA from 1 species